rnacentral:tRNA from 1 species
GCCCUGAUGGUCUAGCGAUAUGAUUCUCCCUUAGGGUUGCUACUUGCUUCUCAGUAUGGGAGAGGUCCCAGGUUCGAUCCCUGGUUAGGGCC